GAAAUCAUUUUAUAAAAUCAAAGCUAAUUCAUUUCAAAAAUCUUACUUUUGUUUUUCUCCAGGAAACAAAGUCCCAGGAUAUUUGGAUGGUUGAUUUGAAUCCUUAUCUGCUUGAGGAGACGCUGCAUCAUAUAAGGGUUCAGCCUCAACCUUUUGUAGAGAAAAGAGCUUUCCUCCACUGUUUUGGGAAAUGUCAUAUUCUUAUCUUGAAAGAGUAAUCUCAAAAGUGAAGAUCUUAGAGCCAACAGGAACUAAAAGGACAGGAUGUCCUUGAGCCAUCCAAUAGAGUUGGAAGACCUUGGAUUCUGGCAUCUGAGAGAUAUCUGCAUUCUGAUGUAUUCUCUGCAAAUGCCACAAGGAAGAUGGUCAUGCAGGAGUUCUCUGUAUUUUUUCAGGUUUGUAUGUGAGUAAGAAAGUUUAAUUCUGAUGUGAAUUUUUGGGAUAUUCAUUUGGACCACACAUCAAAGCCACA
rnacentral:lncRNA from 1 species